rnacentral:rRNA from 1 species
UACGUAGGGUGCGAGCGUUAAUCGGAAUUACUGGGCGUAAAGCGUGCGCAGGCGGUUUUGUAAGACAGAUGUGAAAUCCCCGGGCUCAACCUGGGAACUGCGUUUGUGACUGCAAGACUCGAGUGCGGCAGAGGGGGGUGGGAAUUCCACGUGUAGCAGUGAAAUGCGUAGAGAUGUGGAGGAACACCGAUGGCGAAGGCAGCCCCCUGGGCUGAGAUUGACGCUCAGGCACGAAAGCGUGGGGAGCAAACAGG